ACACUGAUAAGCCCUUCAUUAGUAGAGCACCAACUGUGAGCACGUGAGGAGCAGCCUCAGUCGGGUUGGUGUUGUUUGAAACUCCGGUUGUUUUUUGUUAUUUUGAUCACAACGAGAGAAAUAGACGAAUCAAAGAUGGCGAGCCCAGCCCAGAGUGAUGGUGGAUGGUCGUGAGAACGGUGUGGCCAGCCGUGGGACCAGCCACCGAGGACGUCGGACUAGUUUCGUUCAGACAGGAUACAGAUAAGAAUACACUUACGCUAUUAACUCUACCCGGGUAGUAGUACUGGACUUUAUAUACACACACACACACACACACACACAAAAGGACCAGGAACUGAACUCUGAACUCAAUUUCAUACUCCUCGACUUAAAGGAGCAUUGAGCUGAAGUAUCAGCUCACAGGGACAUUUUCCUUUCCUUUUAUUAUUGAAAGAGCUCUAUUUUUGUUUUAUUUUAUUUUCAUUCUUGGUACAUUAUAGUACUGUGUUCAUUGUUGUGUCCCCUAAUGUUAUAAAACUGUCAACUGUUCAA